rnacentral:lncRNA from 1 species
AAAUCCGUGCGGGCCUUGUUAAGGCCCAAAGCGGACAAUAUCUUGCCAGGUCUGGGUUGGGUCAUGACAUUGUGGUAUCAGAGCGGCUCCGCGUGUCCUCUUGAGCGAUGGUGGGGCAAACCUCAGCGAUGACGCUGAGUCCCCAAGGGGGGUGUAUGUAACACCCUAGGCGAAUCCCACAUCGGCAAAGCACGAGAGAGAUGCUGGGUUUAUAAGGGGUGAUCCACACCUUAAUUGGCAAGACGCGUUUUGGGGUGUAUGGGCGCCCCAAGAACAAAUCCGUGCGGGUCUUGUUAAGGCCCAAAGCGGAUAAUAUCUUGCCAGGUCUGGGUUGGGUCAUGACAUUGUGGUAUCAGAGCGGCUCCGCGUGUCCUCUUGAGCGAUGGUGGGGCAAACCUCAGCGAUGACGCUGAGUCCCCAAGCGGGGGUGUAUGUAACACCCUAGGCGAAUCCCACAUCGGCAAAGCACGAGAGAGAUGCUGGGUUUAUAAGGGGUGAUCCACACCUUAAUUGGUAAGACGUGUUUUGGGGUGUAUGGGCGCCCCAAGAACAAAUCCGUGCGGGCCUUGUUAAGGCCCAAAGCGGGUAAUAUCUUGCCAGGUCUGGGUUGGGUCAUGACAUUGUUCGGUGUAUGUAACACUCUAGGCGAAUCCCACAUCGGCAAAGCACGGGAGAGAUGCUGGGUUUAUAAGGGGUGAUCCACACCUUAAUUGGCAAGACGCGUUUUGGGGUGUAUGGGCACCCCAAGAACAAAUCCGUGCGGGCCUUGUUAAGGCCCAAAGCGGACAAUAUCUUGCCAGGUCUGGGUUGGGUCAUGACAUUGUGGUAUUAGAGCGGCUCCGCGUGUCCUCUUGAGCGAUGAUGGGGCAAACCUCAGCGAGGACGCUGAGUCCCCAAGGGGGGGUGUAUGUAACACCCUAGGCGAAUCCCACAUCGGCAAAGCACGGGAGAGAUGCUGGGUUUAUAAGGGGUGAUCCACAC